UACGUAGGGUGCAAGCGUUAAUCGGAAUUACUGGGCGUAAAGCGUGCGCAGGCGGUUCGUUGUGUCGGUGGUGAAAGCCCCGGGCUUAACCUGGGAAUGGCCAUGGAAACUGGCGAACUGGAGUGUGGCAGAGGGGGGUGGAAUUCCACGUGUAGCAGUGAAAUGCGUAGAGAUGUGGAGGAAUACCGAUGGCGAAGGCAGCCUCCUGGGCCGAACACUGACGCUCAUGCACGAAAGCGUGGGGAGCAAACAGG
rnacentral:rRNA from 1 species